rnacentral:rRNA from 1 species
UGGGGAAUAUUGGACAAUGGGCGCAAGCCUGAUCCAGCGACGCCGCGUGUGUGAAGAAGGCCUGCGGGUUGUAAAGCACUUUCGAUGGGAACGAAAUGUGCCGGGUUAAUACCCCGGUAAGCUGACGUUACUCAAUGAAGAAGCACCGGCUAACUCUGUGCCAGCAGCCGCGGUAAUACAGAGGGUGCAAGCGUUGUUCGGAAUCAUUGGGCGUAAAGGGCAUGUAGGCGGUAUGUUAAGUCAUGUGUGAAAUCCCUCGGCUCAACCGGGGAACGACGCAUGAAACUGGCAAGCUAGAGUACCAAAGAGGGUGGUGGAAUUCCCGGUGUAGCAGUGAAAUGCGUAGAUAUCGGGAGGAACACCUGUGGCGAAGGCGGCCACCUGGUUGGAUACUGACGCUGAGACGCGAAAGCGUGGGGAGCAAACAGGAUUAGAUACCCGCGUAGUCCCUGAGCGGGCUGGCAAGGCGCAU